CAUCCAGAAAACAGAAGACAGUUUUUGGAUAAAUCAUGUUGGUGGUACAAGCACCGACUCUCUUCUGAUUGGCUGACUGUUUUCUGAGUAAAAACACUCAGAGAAACCAAAUCCAGGUGGUGGGUCCAGGUGGGCGGGGCUUGGUGACUGCUUUGUUGUGACAUCACAAAGUUCCAGAAGUCCUGACGGCUGGUUUUAAGGCUCAGUUUCUGAAUACAGGCUGUGUGCAUUUCUCUGUGGACUGAGGCUUUGAUACUUUCACAGUAUUAAUAUAGAAGCUAGAGCUGAUCUAUAAUCUAUAAUCACACUACACAUGGACACAGACCUUUACACUGGAGGAGCUUUAAUGUUUUUUCUUAAUGAAACCUCUGGAACAAAAAUCAAAUCUGGUAAAAUGUUCAAGUUGAAAUUAAAACCUAAUGUUUAAAUAUAUAAAACAAUAUAUUUAUAUGUCAUUUUAGAUCCUCUGAAGUGAAUGUGUUAAAUGACGGUGAGGCCUCAGAAAACGCUCUGUCUGUCUUUUUAAUUUCCUCCACACCUCCCUAACCUCCUCCUCUGUGUUUAGAAACACCUUCGUUCUUACAGUAUCUCUAUCCCAGUAGCGGUGAGGUGGAGGAAGUCCAGCAGAGAGGGAGAUGUUAUCAGUGCCUGCAGACACAGAGCAGGAAACCACAGCUCCAGGCCGGAGCAGAGACAAGGCGAAGAGGAAGAGUCGCUCUGUAACUGAAGGUCGGAUUAAUAGAUCAAAAACCCUUCAAAAUGAAGCUUCCACUGAGCCACGACUCACCAGACCAGAACACCAAGACUAACGGCUGCAGGUCCAGGUGGAGCAGGUGUAGCUGCUGGAGAAGCUCCUCCAGAAACCCUUCAGCAGGUGUAUAAACCUGCACAUGUGUGGGAGGAGCAUCCGAAAACAGCGGUCAAAGAGGAAGGUGUAAAUUUGUGACGCCAAUAUUUCACUGAAACCAAAAUGAAGGAGGCAGCGGAGCCAGAACGGACUCGGAGGAAUUCCUGAGAGCUGAGUUUUUACGCUGCUGAGGCUGAAAUGGAGUGUGACAGCUCGACAGCCAGCAGCCUCAUUGUUCUGUCUCUCCCAGAAACAGAUCAGGACUCCAAAUGUAUGGGCUGAUAGAAUAAUGUUUGUUGUUCCAGUGGAAAAAUGACAGGAAAGCUCUAAACAAACCAGCAGUUGCUUCACAUGCCACAAAAGCCUCGUCUGGCUCUGUGUGAGCGCCGAGGCUUCGGAUUUACAAAGCCGCAGCUUUAAGGCGGUUAGCGUCGGUAGCCGGGCGGACAUCACGACGCCGCGGCCACAUGAGACUCUGACUGUCCCUGAGGCUUUGGGAAACACCGCAGAGUGUUAUCUGUCUGGAAGGUGUGUGUUGUUGUGUGGCCGGCCUGACAGAUGAGUCAUGUGGACAGAUUAGUGGUGAGUCUGGAGCAGGAGGAGCUGGUGUUAGCGACUUAGCUGUUGUCACGGUGAUACAGUGUGAGGUGAUGGAGGGAUGAGCUGUGUGUGUGGAUGGAAACACGCCUCCUGUCCAGCGGUCACAUCAUCUGCCAAAAACAUCCUCAUAAAAAUGUCCUGAAAGGAGCAGAACACACGAAGCGUCAGUGGUGCCGAUGAUGAACGAGCAGAUUAGCUUCUCCUGCAGCUUCAGUAUUUUACAUGUGACAGCAGCAGAGAUCAAGUGUCCAAGUUCCUCUGUGUGGUCCAGUUACUGCUGCAUCAAAACACUUCAACUUCACAUCACAUGCAGGACGAAUACACUGGGGAAAAAAAUCACAUUUUACCAAAAACAAUUAAGUUUUCUAACAGUAAUUUCCUGUUUUUUAAGCCAAACUUCUAUUUUAAGCAUUUUGCCAAUAAUAAUGAAUUACAUUUAUUUCCCAUUUUUGUAAAGACAAAUUACUGUUUUAUUUCUACAGUAUUUUUCUGCUUUCUUAAAUUAAAUACAAAUCUAUGUAAAAUGACAGUAAUUAUCUGUAAUUAAAAAUGUAGCUUGUUAUUAUAAAGGUUAAUGUCCAUACGAACAAUUUAAAGAUUCUCUGUAAUUUCAGGGUAAAUCUGAUUAGUUUCACAUUUAUGUGACUUCUACAUACAAACUUUGUGAUUCUGGAUGAAAUGUAACAAACAAAAAAAUCACAUCAAACAGUCAAACAUCAAACAAAAAGGUUUGAAGUACUGGAAUGUAUCCCAGCAUGCACUGGGAGGAAAGCAGGAAAAUAUGUACAGUUUAGAGUCCUCAGUGAAUGAAAUGUCAUGUCUUGUUCUAGUGAUCAGAGUCCUGGAGGAAACACAAGGAGAACAUGCAACACUGCAGGAAAGAACCAGGGUUGAAGCUGAACCAGGAGCUUCUUGCUGUUGUCUUCCUGCCUGGACUUUACUAGUCUGUGUGUUUGUGCCAGAAGAAACCAUGUUUGGAUGAGAGGGUGGAGCUGGGGAGGAGGGAGGGGUGGAUCUGACCUGUUUUUCUAACACUAAGACUGAUGAUGAAUAACGGCUCCUGGACUUUUUGCACCUUCCCUCCAUCACUUAUGGACGGCUGCAACAGCUUCCAGUCGACCUGUCAGACUGUUGCUCCGUCCUCACUGAGCUAUGAAGGAUUAUUUUACAUCUCUACAAUGAAAACACUGAUUCACCAAAGUGACUGUUAGAUUCAUCAUGAGGCAGAUGGUAAAUAUGAAGAAACACUCAGUACAAUUUAAUCACAGGUUUCUUUAUUAAACACCUUUUCAAUGACAACAACGAAGUUGUGAAUAAAACUAAUGAACAUGAGCUGUACUACACUGACACCUGCUUCACCAUCUGAACUGUCAGUGUUCAGUUCACACUAAAGAGUGUGUGAGGUCACACAUCCGUCUCUGAGGUCACAGCAUUACAUCUAUGAAGAGUCUGGUUCUGCUCCAGGUUGCAGUUCUGGUGGGUCAGUUCCAUCUGUUUCCUGCUGAACACCGUUUGAUGUUAAACUGGUCGAUACUUUCACCUGUGAAGGAGGUGACUGAGCUGGAGCUGAACACAUUGGCCCUCAUUUAUCACUCUUGCGUGAAAACAGGCGCAGAUCUAAAUAGCCUGACAUGACAUCUGAUUAUUGCACAUUAAAAUUUGAAAUAAUAAUAAAUACAAGCAGAAAUGUGUUUUUGCAAAUUAACUCAUGGCAAAAUUGUGUAAUUGUUUUUGUUUUUUCCGAUGGGUGUGACACAACUGGAACAACAAUUAAACAUCUGGUGAGAUAA